UUAUGUAUUGAAUAUGCUCCACACAAUGAACAAAGAAAAAAGAGAAUAUCCUCAUAAGAGGAAGAAAUCAUAUAUUGGAUAAAAAUGUUGGAUUACAAUAGUGGAUAUUACAGGAGGAACAUCAUCCCAAUGUGAUGCAUAAUCUAAAUAUUUUCUUGACAACUCUACAACUUAAGUAAAACUUAACCGAGGAACAUCAUCCAACAGGAACCACAUCCCUACAACUUAACUAAAGCUGAAAGCAUCAAUCUUCAUCAUUAUGAACCGGAACAUCACAGUAUACUUGUUACACACCCAUAUAAUCAUCCGUAUCUUCUGAAAAUACAAAGAAAAUAACAAAAUGAACCAUUAACGCAAUGAAUUGACAUGGUGCAAGUAGUGAUAGAGGCAGGUUAUUAGUCACGUACAAAUGUGGAAGGCCAUGCAAUCUUUAUUAUACACGACAAAUUACUAGCAUACAUAGAUGGAAAUGUAUUCAUAACUUUCCUCGAGGGUUCAUGUUACAUACUUAAACUAUAUGAGGCUAAUAUAGGCGUCUUAGUGUAUGGCAGAAAUCAUUGCAUAAGUGUUAACAUUUGCUCCGAUUGCUUCCAAUGGUGAACAUAUCAAAUGGACAAAGAUACACAUUUUUUACGGCAUACGGUGCAGAAUCUGUUGGAGCAACACGAACCUGCAUCAAUUGUUGUUCCUCAUGAGGUCCUGGUCCAAGCAUGAGUAAAAUAUAACAGAGUACAAAUAGACCUUCAGUUUGUGCUUGUAAACAUAAUUUAAACAUUAGUUACACACCAGUUGUGGUAAAGGGGCUAAUUGAGUUAUUCAACACAUCAAGCUGGUUACCAUGGUAAUUCGUGUUUGGUUAACAAUAAAUUAGUCCAGACAAAAUCACUGCUUAUGCAGACAAACAGAAGGACCUAAAUAUGAAAAUGUUAAGAAAUGAUGGAGCGACAUGCUUACAGUUUCUGUGAAGCUACAGACUAUUCACACAGCACGGUAUAUACACACUGACCAUGACUAAUCACAACAACUCUUUAAUUGGAGUGUACAAUUUACAUAAGACAUACAGCUAACGUAAUUCAAAAAGCCUUGUGCAUGCAUAUUGUAUUGUUUCAGAACAUGAAAAGGGUGGAAAAAACGCCAAUUUUGGAACAAAAUUAUGGACCGCUUCGGAACCACACAUCAUUACUCAGGAUUUAUACAAUCCAGCAUAUUCUAGAAAGUAGCUUAAUUACCUUAUUAUGUUUUCUGCAAGUGGC
rnacentral:lncRNA from 1 species